rnacentral:rRNA from 1 species
UACGUAGGGGGCGAGCGUUGUCCGGAGUUACUGGGCGUAAAGGGCACGCAGGCGGUCCUGUAAGUCUGUUCUGACAGCUCCUGGCUCAACCGGGAGAGGCGAACGGAAACUGUAGGACUUGAGGGACUUCAGAGGGACACGGAAUUCCGGGUGGAGUGGUGAAAUGCGUAGAGAUCCGGAGGAACACCAAAGGCGAAGGCAGUGUCCUGGGAAGUACCUGACGCGUCAGGUGCGGAAAGCCAGGGGAGCGAACGGG